CGCGAGCGUUGGCUCGCGGCGCGGGCGGGCGAGCCGCUGACGGCGGUUUUCAGGCUCGAGAACUCCCUCGGGCGGACGCUCCGGCUGCGGCUGCGCGCGG
rnacentral:tRNA from 1 species